GAUGAACGCUGGCGGCGUGCCUAAUACAUGCAAGUCGAGCGAACAGACGAGGAGCUUACUCCUCUGACGUUAGCGGCGGACGGGUGAGUAGCACGUGGAUAACCUACCUAUAAGACUGGGAUAACUUCGGGAAACCGGAGCUAAUACCGGAUAACAUGUUGAACCGCAUGGUUCAACAGUGAAAGACGGUCUUGCUGUCACUUAUAGAUGGAUCCGCGUCGCAUUAGCUAGUUGGUAAGGUAACGGCUUACCAAGGCAACGAUGCGUAGCCGACCUGAGAGGGUGAUCGGCCACACUGGAACUGAGACACGGUCCAGACUCCUACGGGAGGCAGCAGUAGGGAAUCUUCCGCAAUGGGCGAAAGCCUGACGGAGCAACGCCGCGUGAGUGAAGAAGGUCUUCGGAUCGUAAAACUCUGUUAUUAGGGAAGAACAAAUGUGUAAGUAACUAUGCACGUCUUGACGGUACCUAAUCAGAAAGCCACGGCUAACUACGUG
rnacentral:rRNA from 1 species